rnacentral:rRNA from 1 species
GUACGACGGAGCACGUGAAAUUCCGUCGGAAUCUGGGAGGACCAUCUCCUAAGGCUAAAUACUCUCUAGUGACCGAUAGUGAACCAGUACCGUGAGGGAAAGGUGAAAAGCACCCCGGAAGGGGAGUGAAAUAGAACCUGAAACCGUGUGCUUACAAGUAGUCAGAGCCCGUUAAUGGGUGAUGGCGUGCCUUUUGUAGAAUGAACCGGCGAGUUACGAUUUGAUGCAAGGUUAAGCAGUAAAUGUGGAGCCGUAGCGAAAGCGAGUCUGAAUAGGGCGUUUAGUAUUUGGUCGUAGACCCGAAACCAGGUGAUCUACCCUUGGUCAGGUUGAAGUUCAGGUAACACUGAAUGGAGGACCGAACCGACUUACGUUGAAAAGUGAGCGGAUGAACUGAGGGUAGCGGAGAAAUUCCAAUCGAACCUGGAGAUAGCUGGUUCUCUCCGAAAUAGCUUUAGGGCUAGCCUCAAGUGAUGAUUAUUGGAGGUAGAGCACUGUUUGGACGAGGGGCCCCUCUCGGGUUACCGAAUUCAGACAAACUCCGAAUGCCAAUUAAUUUAACUUGGGAGUCAGAACAUGGGUGAUAAGGUCCGUGUUCGAAAGGGAAACAGCCCAGACCACCAGCUAAGGUCCCAAAAUAUAUGUUAAGUGGAAAAGGAUGUGGCGUUGCCCAGACAACUAGGAUGUUGGCUUAGAAGCAGCCAUCAUUUAAAGAGUGCGUAAUAGCUCACUAGUCGAGUGACACUGCGCCGAAAAUGUACCGGGGCUAAACAUAUUACCGAAGCUGUGGAUUGUCCUUUGGACAAUGGUAGGAGAGCGUUCUAAGGGCGUUGAAGCAUGAUCGUAAGGACAUGUGGAGCGCUUAGAAGUGAGAAUGCCGGUGUGAGUAGCGAAAGACGGGUGAGAAUCCCGUCCACCGAUUGACUAAGGUUUCCAGAGGAAGGCUCGUCCGCUCUGGGUUAGUCGGGUCCUAAGCUGAGGCCGACAGGCGUAGGCGAUGGAUAACAGGUUGAUAUUCCUGUACCACCUAUAAUCGUUUUAAUCGAUGGGGGGACGCAGUAGGAUAGGCGAAGCGUGCGAUUGGAUUGCACGUCUAAGCAGUAAGGCUGAGUAUUAGGC